GAGACGAAGUCUGAUGGUGUAGUUGGUACUGCGUAUAGGGUCGAGAGAGCAGAUGAGGCGCGGAACGGUCGGCGGCCUGUGGACGUGGGUUUCGGGGUUGUAGGUGGGGUGUUGCGCUCGCUGGUGCUGCCCCCCGCGAGGACGACGACACUGGGCCCCGCUACGCGUCCCCAGUACCGUGCUGUCACCUACUCCCACGAGCACCGGUACUAAAAACGACCUUGGCCGAGACGCCAACGAUGUUGGCCGUCCUGCUGCACGGGUGACCUCGACCUCGACAUCGCGCGAGUGGCCGCUACACCAAAAACGACCUUGGUCGUAUUCAAAAACGACCUUGGCCGAUCAAUGAAACGAUGUUAGUCUGAAACCCCUAAAAACGACGAUACAAAUAAAAACGACUUUGAUCACAGUUUAAAACGACCUUGGCCGAUAAGGAAACGAUGUUUCGCCUAAAAAGACUAAAAAACGACGAUACCAACAAAACGACCUUGGCCCGUCGCCCCUACCAGUGGUACGACCUUGGCCCGUUGUCCCUACGACCUUGUUAGCCAUCAAAAACGAAGAUGGUCGUCGUAAAAAACGACUUUGGACGUACAACUUAAAAAACGAUCCUGCCUUCACAAAAACGAUAUUAACUAAAAGCGAUCUUGGACGUAAAAAGAGACGACCUUGACCGAGUACCCUAACGAAGGUGGUCGCUCCACCACGAGCGCGACUAAAAAAACAACCCACCGUUCCCGCCUCUGACACAAGCAUAAAAAAAAACGACGUUGGAAACACAAAAAAACGACCUUUGUUGUUAUCUAAAACGACCUUGGACGGUUUUGUCUCUAAAAAAAACGUCAACAGGUCGCCCCGCUCGCCGGUACCGCACAGGUGGACGCUCGGCCGCCCGUCGGCGCCACUCGGCCGCUCGCCACCGCCACUCGGUCACUCGCCGCCCCACCCACGAUGCGCGUUUGGUGGCGUCUCCUAUACCACCUAGACUUCGCUCCUUCUUCCCCUGCACGCACUCCUAUCGAGCGACUUAGCACGCCAGGACUUCUGUGAUUAGCACGCCGACGCGCCCCUGGCCGGCUUUGCAAACCCGGCCACGCGGCCGCGGAUCGCGACCGGAUUUAUCUUCCACGGUUCUACCGUUAGAAAAAUUACAACCUCUAGGUGAUAAAGGUUCGUGUUUUAUAGAUGUGUUUAAUCUAUCUAUAUCUAUAUGUGUUUAGAAACCUUCUCGGAAAUAUCGUGAGUAAAAUGAGGUCUGCUCGACCUGUUCUGCAUAGUAUAUCGUGAUCAAAAUGAUGAGAUCCGCUCGUAGGGCGGAGGAGUCAGAUACUUUGGUUUUAAGAACCGUACUUGAGGUGGUACUAGGAGCCAGAUGGUCAUAUGACGGCACCCGCGGAGGAUUCAAGUUCAAAACCUGUCGCCUAUCCAACAUUACCUCCCCUACUGGUUUCACGUGGCAAACAUUAAUACGUAACAGAACUGAUCAUUUUUACGGGCACGCUACGUUGCCCUCUUAUUUUGUAGUAUA
rnacentral:rRNA from 1 species